rnacentral:misc_RNA from 1 species
GAUGAAGAACGUAGCGAAAUGCGAUAAGUAGUGUGAAUUGCAGAAUUCAGUGAAUCAUCGAAUCUUUGAACGCACAUUGCGCCCCUUGGUAUUCCAUGGGGCAUGCCUGUUCGAGCGUCAUUUGUACCUUCAAGCUUUGCUUGGUGUUGGGUGUUUGUCUCGCCUUUGCGUGUAGACUCGCCUUAAAAUAAUUGGCAGCCGGCGUAUUGAUUUCGGAGCGCAGUACAUCUCGCGCUUUGCACUCAUAACGACAGCGUCCAAAAGUACAUUUUACACUCUUGACCUCGGAUCAGGUAGGGAUACCCGCUGAACUUAAGCAUAUCAGUAAGCGGAGGA